rnacentral:rRNA from 1 species
UGGUGGGGUGACUUGUCUGCUUAAUUGCGAUAACGAACGAGACCUUAACCUGCUAAAUAGCCCGCAUUGCUCCGGCAGUGCGCUGGCUACUUAGAGGGACUUUCGGCUCAAGCCGAAGGAAGUUUGAGGCAAUAACA